ensembl:lncRNA
GUCAGGUUCCUCAGCUGUUCGGAUUCCUUUUUUCUAAUACUUACCCUCGAGGCAAGGGUGCCUGCUUUAUUUUCAUAUCCAAAGAAUUAAUUCACAGGUUUUUCUCCUCGAGGGAACUAGCACAGGAAGGGGAGAAAUCGUUAGGAAACGACCUGAUUUAAAAGCACUUCCAGUCCAGUCUCCUCUACGCAUACACACGCACACCCUUUUUCCUUAUUUGACGGAGAAAAUUUGCUCCCCAGAGUGGGGAGCGACUUGCUGAAGGUGCUAGAUCCCGGAGUAGGGCCUUGAACAGCGGCUUGUUCACUUAAGAAUGGCAAACCCUUCUUUAAAAAGAGACUUGGUGCAGUCCCUCCAGCCACUGUCCAGGGUCUAUUUUCCUCCACUUAACAGUGGAAAAGACCCCAUAAAGCCGUCUGUUGUGAAAGUAAAUUUUUACCUUGUUUGGUGGAUUGCUGCGGGCCCAUCUGACCACUUGCAGGUUUUCCGUUCCUCAGAGUUUUUGAAAGAAUAGCAAGUUUUUUAAAGCGCAAAAGUGAUGCCUACCGAUUAUUUAUAAAAACGUCUUUCUCAAAUACUGAUACCGAUUCCCUUUUCUUGCCCUUCUUUUGAGGCGGAGUAGGGAUCCCGAGUCGUUUGUAAUAACGAGAACUCUAUCAGGAAUAACUCGGAAAGCCGGUUAUUCAGUCUCCGUGGGUGGUGGAAACCUACUCAGAUCCAAGUGUAAUGAGGGAGAUAUUUCAGAUAAAAACCUGAUGCUGAUAGUUUUGUCUACCUGGCAAAAACUUCAUCAGUCCUGCUUUACCAGCCUAAACGGAAUAAUAAAGGGCAAAGUGAAUGUUUUAUUUGACUUUUCUAUCUCACGUUGUGCGUGAAGCUGGAACUUGUCUUCGUUACCAUUUAGUUGAGGCCCAGACCCUCCCUUUCGCCGAUGAUCUGAAUGCUCCCCAGCUCUCUCAACUCCCCGCCCCGGCAAGGAAGAUAGGGACCCACAUUUGAAAGCCUGCCAAGUUUAAGAAAACCAUUACACAAUGACUAUCAUUUCCUUCCUUUCAGACUUAAAAUUUUUUUUCUUAAACCUCAGAGUCAGCUGCUUGCUAACCACUAAUUUUUUAUACUCCACCAUUAAGACAGCCUUUCCUCUGGACUCAGAUCAGUUCCCUUGAAGUCUCUUUUUUCAUGCCUUCCUUGAAAGAAUAUCCUCUCUGAGCUCCUUUUCUGUCUCCUUUCGUCUCCUGCCAUCAAUCUUUCUCCAGUGUUCUAUUUCUUUUCCCUCCAUGCUCUCUUCCUUGACAGUUCUGCCUAUUGCCAGGCUUAAAUGUCUAUGUGUGGGACUCAUACCUAUUUUUCCAUCCACCUCCCGUCUCUGAAGCUCAGAGAUGGAAUUUCAAGCUGCAUGAAUAAUGCUAUUCAGGCAACAAAUGUUUGCUGAGGGCCUGCUGUGUGGCAGAUAUGGUGCUAGGUGCUGAGGGUAGGAAAAUGACACAGACACACUACCUAUCCUAGCGGAGCUCACAGUUCAGUGAGAAAUAAAGUUCCAAUAAUUAUAAGAGACAGAGAGAGAGAGAUGAGUGCAAUGACUGAUACUUCUUUGUGCCAGGCAGUUUUCUAAGGGCUUUAUAAAAAUGAACUCGUUUAAGCCUCACAACAAUAGUAGGAGGCAGAUACUAUUAUAGUCCCCGUUUAACACCUGAUAUGGUGAAAUUGAGGCACAAUAAUUUGCCGAAGGUCACUCAGCUAGUAAGGGCAGGAUUCAAACCCAGCCAGUUUGGCCCCAUUUCCCGUGUUCUUAAGUAUGGCGCUGUUCUGCUUCUGUUAAGAGUGCUGUUUCUGACCAACCUGAAUUCAGAUCUUGAUCUGCCAUUUAAUAUCUGCAACCUUAGGACUCUGUAAGCCCCAGUUUCCUCCUCUGUAAAAUGGAGUUAAUAAUAGUACUUAUUUCAUAUGGUUAUAGUGAGGAAUAAAAG